rnacentral:rRNA from 1 species
AUUGAACGCUGGCGGCAUGCCUUACACAUGCAAGUCGAACGGCAGCACGGGAGCAAUCCUGGUGGCGAGUGGCGAACGGGUGAGUAAUAUAUCGGAACGUGCCCAGUAGUGGGGGAUAGCCCGGCGAAGCCGGAUUAAUACCGCAUACGACCUGUGGGUGAAAGCGGGGGAUCGCAAGACCUCGCGCUAUUGGAGCGGCCGAUAUCAGAUUAGCUAGUUGGUGGGGUAAAGGCCUACCAAGGCGACGAUCUGUAGCUGGUCUGAGAGGACGACCAGCCACACUGGGACUGAGACACGGCCCAGACUCCUACGGGAGGCAGCAGUGGGGAAUUUUGGACAAUGGGCGCAAGCCUGAUCCAGCCAUGCCGCGUGUGGGAAGAAGGCCUGGUGUAAGCUCUUUGUCUAGGGAAG